rnacentral:rRNA from 1 species
UACGAAGGGGGCUAGCGUUGCUCGGAGUCACUGGGCGUAAAGGGCGCGUAGGCGGCCAUUCAAGUCAGAGGUGAAAGCCCAAGGCUCAACCUUGGAAUUGCCUUUGAUACUGUUUGGCUUGAGACCGGAAGAGGUUAGUGGAACUGCGAGUGUAGAGGUGAAAUUCGUAGAUAUUCGCAAGAACACCAGUGGCGAAGGCGGCUCACUGGCCCAUUACUGACGCUGAGGCACGAAAGCGUGGGGAGCAAACAGG